ACUCUAAUAGUUUAUAUAAAACAUUGGUC
rnacentral:tRNA from 1 species